AGCGGCGGACGGGUGAGUAACACGUGGGCAACCUGCCCUGGAGCGGGGGAUAACAUUUGGAAACAGAUGCUAAUACCGCAUAACAAUCAAAACCACAUGGUUUUCGUAUAAAAGAUGGUUUCGGCUAUCACUUUAGGAUGGGCCCGCGGUGCAUUAGCUAGUUGGUAGGGUAACGGCUUACCAAGGCGAUGAUGCAUAGCCGAGUUGAGAGACUGAUCGGCCACAAUGGAACUGAGACACGGUCCAUACUCC
rnacentral:rRNA from 1 species